rnacentral:tRNA from 1 species
GGGUAGGUUGCAGAGCGGUCAAAUGCAUCAGACUGUAAAUCUGACGACUAAUGUCUUCGGAGGUUCGAAUCCUUCCCUACCCA